rnacentral:rRNA from 1 species
CCCUUAGAUGUUCUGGGCCGCACGCGCGCUACACUGAUUCAUGCAACAAGUUUUGUCCUUGGCUGAUAGGCCUGGGUAAUCUUUGAACGUGAAUCGUGAUGGGGAUAGAUGAUUGCAAUUAUUCAUCUUCAACGAGGAAUUCCUAGUAAACGCAAGUCAUCAGCUGGCAUUGAUUACGUCCCUGCCCUUUGUACACACCGCCCGUCGCACCUACCGAUUGAAUGGUCCGGUGAAAUCUUCGGAUCUGAGAGAUGUCUGAUUAAUUUCGGACGCCUUUUGGAAAAGUUGUUUAAACCUUACCAUUUAGAGGAAGGUGAAGUCGUAACA